AUGCAUCUCUUGACAGAUUCUUCAGGGAGCAGAGAGCAUUCGCAUGGAUGGGCAUCUCAGUUUUCCCAGCAUAUGCUGUUUGCCCUUUCCCAACAACCACGCUUGAACAUAAUUAUGCUGCCUCAAACCCGGGCUGCAGAGAGCAUCCCUGACAGCUCCAAGUUCCUGUUAACUCCUGAAAUUCUGAAUUCCACGGUGCCCAGAUCCCGACGUCGAGAUCACAGACCACGUGUCGUCUUCAGCCCCAAGAAGCCCCUUCGCCUCCUCCCCGGGCCGACCUCGCCAGGCUGUUAACUCCCUCCCGCCCCUGCCUUCCUCUGCCCCCGCCUCCACCCGGUGCAACAGGAGUGGCACGAUUAAAAAUGAGGAGAUUCUCUUGUUAUUAACAAAUUUGACAUUUGCCUGAUGAAAUGCGCAUACAAUGUGAAAGCUACGCAGUCCUGGGAAGGAAUGUCUCCCCUCCCACGCCGGCUACAGGAUGAGACCAUUUAGGUGAAGGAAGUGUAACGAUCCUCGUCUGUCUCUGCUGUGCAGUGCUGGGCUUGUGUUAUAAAUGAAGGCGCCAAACAGUGUGGCGCUUUCAGACUGAUAGCAUGUUGACACAUGUGACGUGCGCAGUGUUUCAUCUCUCACCUUAGCUGCAUAAACAGAGCACAUAUGCUCCAAUGCGGUCAUUUGCCUCGGAGUCCAGCCUCUCCCUGGUGACACCUUGGGGCUGGGGUUUUGUUCAUUUCUAGAGAAAAAUGUGGUCCACCCUCCACCCCCCAAAAACAGGUUGAUGAUUUCAGCUUUUCUACUUCUAAAGCUCAUCAAAUCAAUAUUUUACCAACACGAUGCUAAUUUAAAACACCAUCAAAUAACACUGCGGAUACAUAUUGAAAACAUAUUUUAAUGGCUUUGUUUGUUUUGGCAUCAUAUGAACCAAGGACGAUUAAAUUAAAAAGAGACUUUUAAAAGUUAGAGAUUGCCUUUUUAAAGCUUAUUAAAAUCAGCAUGUUACAUGCCUGUCUGUGAAUUAGCUCUACACACUUGAUUGCCAUCAUUAAAACUAGUUGUUUGGGUGCUGCUCAAAGCCGAUUCUGACUAGUUAUUACUUGAAAUCUCUUUCCACGGAAAUGAAAAAAAAAAAAAAAAAACGCAAAAAAUCUUUCUAAGUGGAAGGAGAAAACAGUCACCAAAAUGUGAGCUGGCACAGCGACACAGCGGCAGCAACCCCAGGCAGACCAACAGGUAAACUCACGACAGGACAUCGGACACAGGGAAAAACAAAACCCAAACCCAACCCACGCAACAGCAACAAAGACGCAGUCAUUGAUUGUAUUUCCUGAAUGUCUUAAACAAAUGUUUGAACAGUUUCCUGAGACAGCGCAGAGAACCUCUGCCUGCUCGCUGGCUGCAGGGACAAUGGUCUGUUGCAAUGGAAACCACGCGGGAGGAGAAAAAGGUGCUUUUUGUUACCAUUUUAUCAAAGCUGUUCAUCCUCGAGCUGCAGGCCGCAUUUUGCUGGAAUUGCAGAUAUUUCUCUGUCCAGGCUCCUUUGUUUGUGCAUCUCAUUUGCAUAUAUUUAUCUCCAGCUGAGGGUGCUUUCUGCUCAUUAAGGCCUCCCUUCAGAUUAUUUCAUAAGCCAGCUGCUAAGAGGGAUUUCACCUGUGGUGACUGAGAAAAGAGGGGCGAAAAACUAAAUUCUUCAUAAAAAGGGAAUCUUCGGAGUCUCUUCCCCUAUAAAUGGGCACCAUUUGUGUUAAACAGCCUCUUGUCAUGAUAGAUGCCUCCAGAGGUCAGGGGUUAAAGUUGAUUUGAAGGUCAGCAGUAAAACAACAGACAAACCAGACGCCAAACUGGUUCCUUAGCUGUCGGUGGGAGCUGUGGUACAACCAGGUCUUGAACCUUUUUCAACCUCUAAUAAAACAGGGGAUGAAUCUGAAGUGGAUCA
rnacentral:lncRNA from 1 species